AUUGGACGAUUAAUCGGUAUCGGCUUUUUUUGUUCUCCAAUAAUCGGUAUCGGUAUAUAAAAAUCAUAAUCGGUCGACCUCUAGUAUGGACAGAUUGAAUUGACGCUUAAUCAUUUUAGUCUCAGAGAGAGAGGAUUCUUGUAAUAGUUUGAAAUUGUAAAGUGAAGUCACCAAGAGAAAGAGAAAAGAGGUUUAAAAGGUGAUGUUGUUACACAAGUAAAUUAGUAGUGCUUGAAAUUGUAUAUGCCUUUCCACAUACCUUUAAACAUAAUAAUUAAUGGCUAGGGUCCUUUUUGUUUGUUUUUGCUGUUCUCCAAAUAGUACUUUUGAGUUUUUGAAAGCUAGUCUAAGACAUGGUAGAUAUGUUCUAUGUGUGCUAUUCCUAUGCUUCCAUUCAUAAGUUUUGUAUACAAGCGUCAAAUAACUGAACAUACAAUAUUCUUGGUUGUGGAAAAUAUAUUUCACUGUGGUUUAGAUGGUACAAUGAUGCUCUACACAAUUACUCCUUGUUUUGUCAUAAAAACUGAAAAUGGCAGAGCGAUUUCUGCAUAUUGCACCUUUAAUACAUUGUGUGGCAAUGCAGUAAAUGAGCUCCAGCGUCAACGUCCAACUUCCCCCCCAGACAAUUUGAGAAAUCUAACUGAAACAAUAUUCUUGUUUUGACAACUGCAAACGCACGCUGAUCCAGAAAAACUACUUUAAACUGCAUGUACCGUAGAGAUGCAGCCACGGUACAGAAAACAUUUUCUAAGUAGGUCUGUCCCUUUCCUUUUUUCCUUGCCAGUGGACAUCUUGCUCAACUGUCGUACUAGGCAUUUACGGCAUAACGUUGACUUUCUCUGCCAGUGGCAUAACGUUAACGUUGACUUUCUUCUCAGCAGUGCACUACCUGCAUACUGAAAAGGUUUUCGGGGUGAGCGAGUCCCAAUAUCAUGGCCAUUCAUCCAACCUACAAAAAAUAAGGAAGUGUUGUACUUACCAAAUUAAGGCCCAAUGUACUACAGCUUUUUGUGCUGUACUUUUUCUGUUGCUUUGCAACACCAGCCCACGUGACUUAUUACGGUGACUGUACACUAGCAGUAAAUUGCUGCGCCCAUAUUGUGACUGGCUUGUAGGCGUGUUAUGUACCCAUUAUGAAAUGGGUACAUAGUUAAACAGUAAUUAUCCUCUAAAACGCUCUGGGGACAAACAAACUUUACUGACCUGUUUCCAAUUGUCCACAUGGCUGGGAGAACCUGUUCAAGUUUUCUGUCCUCAAAUAAAGAGCUAUGAAACCUGUCUGCAGAUGAAGAGGUCCCAAUGAAGAGCAGUGGUUCACCUGGUCCUGGGGACUCAAAGGGGUGCACAUUUUUGUUUUUGCCUUAGCACUGCACAGCUGAUACAAAUGGUCAACUCAUCAUCAAGCUUUAAGUGAUGCUUUGUAACUGGAGAUUCCUUCAAAACGAUUUCCUACAGUUAACGUGUAGGGCACUGCAAGGAUGGGUGACCAGGGCCAUCUAGGACUGCCUGCUGGAGGAAUUCAGUUGGGUGAAGGCUACCUGCGUCCUGCAUAACUUUGGGGUGGCAGGUAGCCUAGUGGUUAGAGCAUUGGGCCAGUAACCAAAAGGUUGCUAGAUCAAAUCCCUCGUGCUGCCCCUGAACAAGGCAGUUACCCACUGUUCCUAGGCCAUCAUUAUAAAUAAUAAUUUGUUCUUAACUGGCUUGCCUAGUUAAAUAAAGGUUCAAUAACAAAAUAACUUAAUGAGGAUGGACACGAGGCUCUGCAGGAUGUUUCAAGGAUGGGGUCCAGCAACGCAGCAAGACUGAGACGGAGAGACGGAGAUCAACCUCCUACUUCUUCGAAGAGGGUGUUGUUCCCUGGCAACUCCAUAGACUAUGCACAACCAAAUGCUCUUUUAAGAGUCAUUCACAUUGCAAUAACAGUGUUCUUCCAUUUACUUACUGCAGUUAUUCAAUUCCCAGUUUCUCUCCCUUUGAUUUCUACUUCUCGGGUGAGGGUGCUGAUGUCUGUACAAAAAUAAAGCAGCCAUUUCAAAUCACUCAUAUUGAAAAUAUGUAGAACAAUUAGACACCCUAUAACCCACACCUACACACAUGUAUCAAUCUGAUUGAUUGAUUGUGUUGCUCAGGUGUAUAACUGGCUCCUUUCACCUUGAAAUAAUAGGCAAGAUGGCCAACCAUGGAGAAUAGCAAGACACUUCAUUAUUUCUAUAACUACACUAUAUUGUUUGUCCUCGUGUGUCCGUUCAUGUUUUUCAGCAUAAAGUACUCUGCAGCCGCUUAGUGUGGUGUGGACACCAGGUGAGGCCACACACACAGAUUACUGUUCAACUACCUUAUUUUCACAAUCAGUCUCUCUUCACUUCAUCCCUUUCUCCUCUUCUCCAUAAAUCCUCUAGGUUAUAUCAGCUGUGUCAGUGAACCCCUCCUGCAUCUGAACUGGCUACAUAGAAUUGUAAUUAGUGUUUAAUGUUUUACGGACUCCUGAGAGAACCAGCAAACCAGGCUGUAGUCUUGUGAAACAGUGGAUGUAAAGAAUCUAGCUAGCUUAAGCAUUUACUGCUAAUUUUAAUGUAUAAUUUUGGAAGCUUGCCUUGCUGAUAUUUGCCAUGCAAUGCAGCUGGAGUAACGUAGCUAACUAUUUUCUUGCUUAUUGUGUAGUGGAGGAUAAAAAAUACCUGUAUGCCUGUGGAUGUAUAGCUAGCUAUGUAGCUGAUCUGUGGAGGGAACCUUAAAUAUUAGGCCAGAACCUAGCUAUCAUAGCCGGUUGUAUCGACUUAAAACAUGAAUGGCAUUAAUAAAGUCUUUGGAUAGAGUAUAAAAUAACUUUAUUGUGCCAAGGAUGCAAGUUGUAAAUACAUGUAGUUAUUACCAAGCAUUAGAUCCCCACAUUGUAGCCUGUAAUUUGAAUAUAUUCACUGAUCAUGUACUCUACCUUGGCAAAUAAAGAGCGGGAUCGCAUUAUUAA